rnacentral:hammerhead_ribozyme from 1 species
GCACUGCUGAAGAGUCCCAUAAUAGGACGAAACGGCCGUCCAGUUC